GACGAACGCUGGCGGCGUGCCUAACACAUGCAAGUCGAGCGAGUGAAUCUCCUUCGGGAGUGAAGCUAGCGGCGGACGGGUGAGUAACAUGUGGGCAACCUGCCUCAUAGAGGGGAAUAGCCUUUCGAAAGGAAGAUUAAUACCGCAUAAGAUUGUAGCUUCGCAUGAAGUAGCAAUUAAAGGAGCGAUCCGCUAUGAGAUGGGCCCGCGGCGCAUUAGCUAGUUGGUGAGGUAACGGCUCACCAAGGCGACGAUGCGUAGCCGACCUGAGAGGGUGAUCGGCCACAUUGGGACUGAGACACGGCCCAGACUCCUACGGGAGGCAGCAGUGGGGAAUAUUGCACAAUGGGGGAAACCCUGAUGCAGCAACGCCGCGUGAGUGAUGACGGCCUUCGGGUUGUAAAGCUCUGUCUUCAGGGACGAUAAUGACGGCACCUGAGGAGGAAGCCACGGCUAACUACGUGCCAGCCGCCGCCGUAAGAC
rnacentral:rRNA from 1 species